AACGAACGCUGGCGGCAGGCCUAACACAUGCAAGUCGAGCGCACCUUCGGGUGAGCGGCGGACGGGUUAGUAACGCGUGGGAAUAUACCCAAUGGUAAGGAAUAGCCUCUGGAAACGGAGAGUAAUACCUUAUGUGCCCUUCGGGGGAAAGAUUUAUCGCCAUUGGAUUAGCCCGCGUUGGAUUAGGUAGUUGGUGGGGUAAUGGCCUACCAAGCCUACGAUCCAUAGCUGGUUUGAGAGGAUGAUCAGCAACACUGGGACUGAGACACGGCCCAGACUCCUACGGGAGGCAGCAGUGGGGAAUCUUAGACAAUGGGCGAAAGCCUGAUCUAGCCAUGCCGCGUGAGUGACGAAGGCCUUAGGGUCGUAAAGCUCUUUCGCCAGGGAUGAUAAUGACAGUACCUGGUAAAGAAACCCCGGCUAACUCCG
rnacentral:rRNA from 1 species